UAUGGUUAAGUGACUAAGCGUACACGGUGGAUGCCUUGGCAGUUGGAGGCGAUGAAGGACGUACUAACUUGCGAUAAGCCUAGUUGAGCUAGUAAGAAGCACUUGAGACUAGGAUUUCCGAAUGGGGAAACCCAGUGGAUUUAUCCACUAUCUUUAACUGAAUACAUAGGUUAAAGAGGCGAACGAGGGGAACUGAAACAUCUAAGUACCCUUAGGAAAAGAAAUCAACCGAGAUUCCGUUAGUAGCGGCGAGCGAACGCGGAUUAGCCCUUAAGUUUGAUAAGAUGCAGUGGAACACUCUGGAAAGUGUGGCGAUAGAGGGUGAUAGCCCCGUACACGAAGUGUGUUAUCAAAUGAAAACGAGUAGGUCGGGACACGUGUUAUCUUGACUGAAUAUGGGGGGACCAUCCUCCAAGGCUAAAUACUCCCAACUGACCGAUAGUGAACCAGUACCGUGAGGGAAAGGCGAAAAGAACCCCUGUGAGGGGAGUGAAAUAGAACCUGAAACCGUGUACGUACAAGCAGUAGGAGCCCCUUCGUGGGGUGACUGCGUACCUUUUGUAUAAUGGGUCAGCGACUUACAUUUUGUAGCGAGGUUAACCGUGUAGGGUAGCCGUAGGGAAACCGAGUCUUAACUGGGCGUCUAGUUGCAAGGUGUAGACCCGAAACCGGGCGAUCUAGCCAUGGGCAGGUUGAAGGUUGAGUAACAUCAACUGGAGGACCGAACUCACUAAUGUUGAAAAAUUAGGAGAUGACCUGUGGCUCGGAGUGAAAGGCUAAUCAAGCCCGGAGAUAGCUGGUUCUCCCCGAAAUCUAUUUAGGUAGAGCCUCGGACGAAUACCAUUGGGGGUAGAGCACUGUUUCGGCUAGGGGGUCAUCCCGACUUACCAACCCGAUGCAAACUCCGAAUACCAAUGAGUACUAUCCGGGAGACACACGGCGGGUGCUAACGUUCGUCGUGAAGAGGGAAACAACCCAGACCGCCAGCUAAGGUCCCCAAGUCAUGGUUCAGUGGGAAACGAUGUGGGAAGGCAUAGACAGCUAGGAGGUUGGCUUAGAAGCAGCCAUCCUUUAAAGAAAGCGUAAUAGCUCACUAGUCGAGUCGGCCUGCGCGGAAGAUGUAACGGGGCUAAACCAUGCACCGAAGCUGCGGCAGCGCAUUUAUGUGCUGGGUAGGGGAGCGUUGUGUAAGCCGUUGAAGGUGGAUUGAGAAGUCUGCUGGAGGUAUCACAAGUGCGAAUGCUGACAUGAGUAACGAUAAUGGGGGUGAAAAACCCCCACGCCGGAAGACCAAGGGUUCCUAUCCCAUGCUAAUCAGGGUAGGGUGAGUCGGCCCCUAAGGCGAGGCUGAAAAGCGUAGUCGAUGGGAAACGGGUUAAUAUUCCCGUACUGCUUUAUACUGCGAUGGGGUGACGGAGAAGGCUAGGCAAGCGCGGCGUUGGUAGUCCGCGUGAAAGUGAGUAGGUUGAGAGUUUAGGCAAAUCCGGACUCUUAAGACUGAGACACGAGACGAGACUCUACGGAGUUGAAGUUGUUGAUGCCCUGCUUCCAGGAAAAACCUCUAAGCAUCAGGUAUAAAGAACCGUACCCGAAACCGACACAGGUGGUCAGGUAGAGAAUACUAAGGCGCUUGAGAGAACUCGGGUGAAGGAACUAGGCAAAAUAGUACCGUAACUUCGGGAGAAGGUACGCCCUUAUUUGUGAAGGCCUUGCGCUGUAAGCAGAUGAGGGUCGCAGUGACCAGGUGGCUGGGACUGUUUAUUAAAAACACAGCACUCUGCAAACUCGAAAGAGGACGUAUAGGGUGUGACACCUGCCCGGUGCCGGAAGGUUAAUUGAUGGGGUUAGCUUCGGCGAAGCUCUUGAUCGAAGCCCCGGUAAACGGCGGCCGUAACUAUAACGGUCCUAAGGUAGCGAAAUUCCUUGUCGGGUAAGUUCCGACCUGCACGAAUGGUGUAACCAUGGCCACGCUGUCUCCACCCGAGACUCAGUGAAAUUGAAAUCGCUGUGAAGAUGCAGUGUACCCGCGGCUAGACGGAAAGACCCCGUGAACCUUUACUACAGCUUGGCACUGAACAUUGAACCUACAUGUGUAGGAUAGGUGGGAGGCUUAGAAGCAUUGUCGCUAGAUGAUGUGGAGCCGUCCUUGAAAUACCACCCUUGUAUGUUUGAUGUUCUAACGUAGGUCCCUUAUCGGGAUUGCGGACAGUGCCUGGUGGGUAGUUUGACUGGGGCGGUCUCCUCCCAAAGAGUAACGGAGGAGCACGAAGGUUGGCUAAGUACGGUCGGACAUCGUACGGUUAGUGCAAAGGCAUAAGCCAGCUUAACUGCGAGACAGACACGUCGAGCAGGUGCGAAAGCAGGUCUUAGUGAUCCGGUGGUUCUGAAUGGAAGGGCCAUCGCUCAACGGAUAAAAGGUACUCCGGGGAUAACAGGCUGAUACCGCCCAAGAGUUCAUAUCGACGGCGGUGUUUGGCACCUCGAUGUCGGCUCAUCACAUCCUGGGGCUGAAGUCGGUCCCAAGGGUAUGGCUGUUCGCCAUUUAAAGUGGUACGCGAGCUGGGUUUAGAACGUCGUGAGACAGUUCGGUCCCUAUCUGCCGUGGGCGUUUGAGAAUUGAGAGGGGUUGCUCCUAGUACGAGAGGACCGGAGUGAACGAACCGCUGGUGUUCGGGUUGUCAUGCCAAUGGCACUGCCCGGUAGCUACGUUCGGAAUCGAUAACCGCUGAAAGCAUCUAAGCGGGAAGCGAGCCUCGAGAUGAGUUCUCACUGGACUUUAAGUCCCUAAAGGGUUGUCGAAGACUACGACGUUGAUAGGCAGGGUGUGGAAGCGCUGUAAGGCGUUGAGCUAACCUGUACUAAUUGCCCGAGAGGCUUAACCA
rnacentral:rRNA from 1 species